rnacentral:lncRNA from 1 species
CUGAGCUAACAUCUAUUGCCAAUCUUUUUUCCUUCUGCUUUUUCUCCUCAAAGUCCCCCUAGUACAUAGUUGGAUAUUCUGGUUGUAGGUCCUUCUGGUUGUGCUGUGUGGGACACCACCUCAGCAUGGCUUGAUGAGCGGUGCUAGGUCUGCGCCCAGGAUCCGAACCGGCAAAACCCUGGGCUGCUGAAGUGGAGCACUCGAACUUAACCACUCGGCCACAGGGCUGCCCCCGACAAUUCUUAUUUCUAAGUAAGGGAAAACAAAACUGGAUUGCUAGAAGCAUGGCCAUGAAAAAUAAACCUCAGACCACAAUUAGGAAACCAAAAGAAAUCAAGGUGGGCUUAAUGGAAGUUAGGCAGCAGGUUUAGAAAGAAAAUUCAGGUAGCUGCCUAAAAUAAAGUGGAUCCUGGGUCCACUAGCCAGGCAACACAUUUUUUUAAACCUAUAAAUGAAGCUUGUCUGUGACUUCCCACUACAUGAAAUGUAAGUUAAGCCAUAGUCCUUUUCCACUGAGUCCUGAAAUAUAUGGUUUUUGCCUUUGCUAGUGAAACAAAUACAUGGACAGACAAUUCCUGGCAUUGCUAUGUGAGGGAUAGCAAGGAAGAUGGUGAGCUUUGGCACAAUGUUCACAUUUUGUAAAUGAAACAGAAUAGUAACUUGAUUUUUCAAAAGAAUAAGGUUUUUAUUACAAAUAUAACCAUGUUUAUGUUAGAAAAUUCAAACAGCAGCAAAAUGUAAAAAGGCAAGAAAAUACACUGUCCUAGUACCUACAGAGGAAGAUUUUUAGUAUUUUGGUGUCAUAUUAUGAUUUUGGAACAUGUUUUAAGUACUGAAUGACUUCAAUAUUUAUCCCAUCUCCCCCUAAACCCCUCAUUUACUGUGCUUAUCAGUGAGACUUGGCGUUAGUAUUUAUAUCUCUGUUGACUUUAAGAGUCAAUUCUCCUUUGAUCUCAGAUUGCAGAUGGGAUACAAGGGAUCGGCAUCAUACAGGAGACAAAAUUGAUUCUCUGAUAUGCCUGAAACCAGCCCUAUGCCUAUUUUUUUUUUUUUUUUUGCAGGGCCUGGGGGAAACUAUAAAUGGAGGUCUAGGGUCAGCCUCGUGGUGUAGUGGUUAAGUUUGCGUGCUCUGCUUCAGCAGCCUGAGCUUCACAGGUUUGAAUCCUGGGCAUGGACCUACGGACCACUCAUCAAGCCACACUGUGGUGGCAUCCCACAUAAAAUAGAGAAAGAUUGGUACAGAUGUUAGCUCAGCAACAAUUUUCCUCAAGCAAAAAGAGGAAGAUUGGCAACAGAUGUUAGCUCAGCAACAAUUUUCCUCAAGCAAAAAGAGGAAGAUUAGCAACAGAUGUUAGCUCAGGCUAAUUUUCCUCACCAACAAAAAGAAAGGAAGUUUGCACAGCAUACGUAUAUUAAAUAUCUAAAGCUAUAUAUUAAGGAAGCAGAUUAUUAAAUAUGUUCUAGUCUCCUUCCUUGGCUGACACACCUUCAUCACAGUUACCCCUUGGAUACUAUAAAUUUUGUUCUAGGGGCCAACCCACUGUCUUAGUGGUCAAGUUCAUGUGCUCUGCUUCAACGGCCCAGGGUUUGCCGGUUCAGAUCCUGGGCACAGAUUUAGCACUGCUUAUCAAGCCAUGCUGUGGCAGGGCCAAUCUUCCUCAGCAAAAAGAGGAAGAUUGGUGGCGGAUAUUAGCUCAGGGCUAAUCUUCCUCAAAAAAAAAAAGGAAAGAAAAAAAAAAUGUUCUAUCCUCUGACCUUCCACCCCUUGGGCAUAGGGGCAAAUACACCAAGGCCUCUGGUUGGGGGGGCCGGGGUGGCGGAUGACCAGCCUGGGUAGCAGCCUGCAUGGACCCCAAAGCAGGCCUGGAGCCAUUCGGGCAGGCUCCCUGGAGCUCCAGGAGGGCCUAUCUCCCUGUGGUAGGGGUGUGGUCAGAGCAGGGGCCCUUCUGGCCCUGGUCUGAGUGAGGCAGUCCAUGUUUCAUAUAUGCAGGUGGUGUGCUAGCUUCUGGGAACGCAAAGAUGAGUAAAAACAGUUUAACAAGGACACGCAGAAACUUUCAAAUAAGUACCACCCCAAACUGUGAACUUGUACCUAUGUAUUGACCCAAUCAGGAAGGUCAAAGAGGAGGUAACCAGGCAAAAAAGGAAAGAAAAGAGAACUCCAGGCAGAGGGAAAAGCACAGGCAAAGUCCUGGCAGCGGUGGAGAGCCCAGCCAGGGCAGGCACGGGAAGGUGGUGGCAAGGCUGGGGCAGAAGCCCCAGGAGGGAGCUCGAGGAGAGAGGUGAGGCUGGAGAGGUAGGUGGGCACCAGCCAGGAAAGGCCUCCGUGGCCUUGUCAAGAAAUUUCUCUGUAUCCUCAGUGAAAGGCUUUGAGCAAGGGGUCACAUGGUCAGUAAAUGAGGCUACCCUAGGCUUUUGAAUUGGCCCAGGCUAGACAUGAUGGUCCUUUGGACCAGUGGGUAGUGGAGGAGAUGACAGAGGCAGACAGGCUCCAGGAAGAUUUAGAAAAUGAAACGGCCAGGACUUUGAGGAUGGAUGGGAUUAGGGGCAAGUAGGAAGUGGGUGUCAGUGAUACCUGGUUGGAUGAAUGGGAUAGGCAAGAGGAUAUACCACUGGAACUGUAAAAAGAGGUCAGGGCUACAGAUUCCUGUGUGGGAGUCAUCUCUGUAGGGGUGGUGAGCACAGUCAUGGGUGUGAUGCCUUGAGAAAGGCUGUCUGCUGACCUGGGAGAAAUUAAGCAACCCAAGCUUUCCAGUGCAGAUGAGAAUUUUAAGAAUGAAAUCACACGAGCAGUGAACUCAAAUGAGAAUGAGAAACCCAGCAACCUUGCACAUGCAUUUGUCACUGCAAACAGGCUUGUCAUGCACAAAUCACCUGCAACAACGAAGAGGAUUAUGGAUGAGUUGGUCACCAUCGCACAGUGUCUUUUUGUGCUUGUGUGUCUAAAUCAGGUUCUUGUUACUUGCACACCAUUUUGUGGUGUGUAUUUGUAAAUGUAUCUCGCCAGCAUAUUUUAUGCUUCAGCUAAUUUAGUUGACAUCUAAUUUAGUUGACAUAUAAAAAUAAAAUCAAUUUUCAGACAAAAUACCCAUAAAAUAAGUGAAAUGGGAUAAUAGGUUUCAAGAAAUUAAAAUGUAAUAUAUUUAGACUUCUAUUCCAAAGCAAUUUCGUCUAGAAUAGUAGAUGUUGUAGAUGUAAUUUUUUCUGAAUCUCUGUCAAUUACACAAUAAUAAAUGUUGUUACUAUAUAUUGAGAAAUUUAUUGCUUGGAGUAGUUUGUCAUGAAAAAUGAAAAUUUUUGUAAGGAUUUCCUUUAAAACGUCAAAGAGCUUAAAUAUAAAUAGUUUGUGUGUUGAUGUUCAGCUGUAAUUAAGCCAUGACAAUGAUUAUUACUUUGGAUAUAAACACUAUCAAAUUUUCAUUGGGUGACUUCUUUUUUAAUUAAUGUUGAGUUAUGUUCUGUUUAUGCUCCUGUUUGCUUAUGUUUCCUGUCAUUUUCCAGUUGUCUGCUUGAAUUCUGCUUUUUAAUAGUGAGUUCGCAACUGAUAAUGUGUAUUGAUUUCAGUUUUGCUUCUAAUUUACAUUUUUAUCUCUUUGGUUGAUGUAUUUGGCUUAAUCAUUUUAUUUCUAUAAGCAGUUGUACAAUUUGUUAAUUUAGCUAGAUGAUUAAAUUUGGCUUCUGAAGAGAGUUUGUUCUAGAAAAUGGUCCCUGAAGUAAAUUAGCAUUUGGCAUUUCCAACAUGUCAGAGGGGCUGGUCUCUUAAAGAUAACUAGAAAUGUGACUCUAAAU